ensembl:ncRNA T19D2.8 ncRNA
AAAGCAAUUCUAUCGCAUUUUAGAGGAAGCUGCGGUGGUUGAGGAAAGUAGAGAAUCAAGCGAACUUCUUGUUUCCUCCACUGAAUACCUUGUGCUUUGGUUGAACCUCGUUGGUCUAAUGUGUGAUUGCCAAUGAGACCAUCAAUCCAGAUUUACGAGGUGAUUCGCGAAAAGGUGUGUGUGUGCUCCCAGCAGCAUGGGCUUCUGCCUGGAAGC